ACAAAAAAAAACCGAAAAAGAAAACCGAGGUUGAUGUUGUUAUGGCCCAGUGAAAUUGAAGACAAGCUAAAUUAGGGAAAACUGGGCCAAGCCGAAAACCCAACUUUUGCCACCAUGAAAUCUGCCAUCUGCUUUUUCUUUUUUUCUACCAUUCUCGCUCGUAGACACAAGAGAGAUAGAUAUUUGCAUAAUAAUGAAAGGAAAAGAAAGGGAGAUACCCAUGAAGAUGUUAUUUAGUUA
rnacentral:lncRNA from 1 species